UACGUAGGGGGCGAGCGUUGUCCGGAUUUACUGGGCGUAAGGCGCGUGUAGGCGGGAGAUUAAGUUGGGUGUGAAAGCCCGGGGCUCAACCCCGGGAUGCCGCCCAAGACUGGUCUCCUUGAGGACGGAAGAGGGGAGUGGAAUUCCUGGUGUAGCGGUGAAAUGCGUAGAGAUCAGGAGGAACACCCGUGGCGAAGGCGGCUCCCUGGUCCGUUUCUGACGCUGAGACGCGAAAGCGCGGGGAGCGAACGGG
rnacentral:rRNA from 1 species